UACGUAGGGUGCGAGCGUUGUCCGGAAUUAUUGGGCGUAAAGGGCUCGUAGGCGGUUUGUCGCGUCGGGAGUGAAAAACUCAGGGCUUAACCCUGAGCCUGCUUCCGAUACGGGCAGACUAGAGGUAUGCAGGGGGAGAACGGAAUUCCUGGUGUAGCGGUGAAAAUGCGCAGAUAUCAGGAGGAACACCAAUGGCGAAGGCAGCUCGCUGGGACGGUACUGACGCUGAGACGCGAAAAGCGUGGGGAGCAAACAGG
rnacentral:rRNA from 1 species